rnacentral:rRNA from 1 species
CUGUCGGUGGCUGACAGGUUUCGCGGCGCGCCCCUCUCGCUCAGGCGUCUGGGUCGACGCGCCGUGUUGUCCUCGUUGGCCGGCUCAAUCCUACCGCGGUGCUCUUAAACGAGUGUCGAGGUAGGCCGACACUGUUUACUUUGAACAAAUUAGAGUGCUUCAAGCAGGCUCUGAAAGCAGCCUGAAUAGUGGUGCAUGGAAUAAUGGAACAGGACCUUGGUUCUAUUUUGUUGGUUUCCGGAAUCCAAGGUAAUGAUCAAUAAGGACAGGCGGGGGCAUUCGUAUUGCGACGUUAGAGGUGAAAUUCUUGGAUCGUCGCAAGACGCACUAGAGCGAAAGCAUUUGCCAAGUAUGUCUUAAUUGAUCAAGAACGAAAGUUAGAGGUUCGAAGGCGAUCAGAUACCGCCCUAGUUCUAACCAUAAACGAUGCCAGCCAGCGAUCCGCCGAUGUUCCUCCGAUGACUCGGCGGGGAGCUUUCCCCGGGAAACCAAAGCUUUUGGGUUCCGGGGGAAGUAUGGUUGCAAAGCUGAAACUUAAAGGAAUUGACGGAAGGGGCACCACCAGGAGUGGAGCCUGCGGCUUAAUUUGACUCAACACGGGAAACCUCACCAGGCCCGGACAUUGGAAGGAUUGACAGAUUGAUAGCUCUUUCUUGAUUCAGUGGGUAGUGGUGCAUGGCCGUUCUUAGUUGGUGGAUCGAUUUGUCUGGUUAAUUCCGAUAACGAACGAGACUCUAGCCUAUUAACUAGACGAUCCCGGUAUCAAUGCUACCGGCGAUACUUAAUCUUCUUAAAGGGACAGGCGGCUUACAGCCGCACGAGAUUGAGCAAUAACAGGUCUGUGAUGCCCUUAGAUGUCCUGGGCCGCACGCGCGCUACACUGAAGGAAUCAGCGUGUCCUACCCUGGUCGCAAGGUCCGGGUAACCCGUUGAACCUCCUUCGUGCUAGGAAUUGGGGCUUGCAAUUGUUCCCCAUAAACGAGGAAUUCCCAGUAAGCGCGAGUCAUAAGCUCGCGUUGAUUACGUCCCUGCCCUUUGUACACACCGCCCGUCGCUACUACCGAUUGAAUGAUUUAGUGAGGUCUUCGGACCGGCGG